GACUCUGCAUCUCAGUUGGUUAGAGCGCUACCCUGGAAUCGCAGAGACGCAGGUUCGAUUCCUGCCAGGGACC
rnacentral:tRNA from 1 species